AAUAAGAGGCGAGGCGGGGCAAUAAAGAGGGGCAAUAAGAGGGGAACGUGAGGCGGGGCAAUAGGAGGGGCGCGCGGAGGAGCACGAGGAGGGGCGCGAGACGAGGCACGAGGACCUCGACUGAGCCCAGCCCUCCCCCCGCCCUUUCUUUCGCGUGCGCGCCCCCCCCCGGGAGCGGUGCAGCUGCGGCGGGAGCCCGCGGCCCCGCCCCCGCGGCCGCCCAGGUGGCCGUCAUUGGGCAGAGCGCGCAACUCUCCGGGUGACGUCAGGCGGCGCGGGGCCCGGCGCCAGAAAUAGGGCAGCCUGCCGCGCGCGCCGCCCGCUCUUUUCCUCUUCGCUCCGCUCGCGCUCUCUCUCUCUCUCUCUCUCCUACGGCUGGCGGACCUGCUGCUGCUCCUCCUGCUCCUCCUGCUCCUCCUGCUCCUCCUGCUCCUCCUGCUCCUCCUGCUCCUCCUGCUCCUGCUGCUCCUCGGCCGCCCCCGCCGCACGACCCCCGCACCUGGGCUCCCGGGGGCAGCGGGACCGACCCCGUCCCGUCCCGUCCCGUCCGUCCGUCCGUCCGUCCGCCCGCAGCCCAGGUUUGUGAUAAUGAAAUCGAGAAGCUUUUGGUUCUUUCCUGUGCUGUGUGGGGUCUUUCUGUGGCCCACCCUGGGGCAGAUGGAUUCAGACAGGAGCAGACGCCCUCUUUUAGAAGCAAGAAGGCGGCAACAAGAGGAAUCAAGGAGCUUUGAAGUCACCAGAAGAAAAGAAAGCUGCCACUCCCACCGAUUGUUCUACAAAGUUAGAAUUUACUUUCUUCCCUCACC
rnacentral:lncRNA from 1 species